UACGUAGGAGGCAAGCGUUAUCCGGAAUUAUUGGGCGUAAAGCGUCCGCAGGUGGCUAUUCAAGUCUGCGGUCAAAGACUGGGGCUUAACUUCGGAAAGGCAGUGGAAACUGAACAGCUAGAGUAUGGUAGGGGCAGAGGGAAUUCCUGGUGUAGCGGUGAAAUGCGUAGAGAUCAGGAAGAACAUCGGUGGCGAAGGCGCUCUGCUGGACCAUAACUGACACUCAGGGACGAAAGCUAGGGGAGCGAAUGGG
rnacentral:rRNA from 1 species